UACGAAGGGGGCUAGCGUUGUUCGGAAUUACUGGGCGUAAAGCGCACGUAGGCGGCUUUCUAAGUCGGGGGUGAAAUCCUGGAGCUCAACUCCAGAACUGCCUUCGAUGACUGGAAAGCUCGAGUCCGGGAGAGGUGAGUGGAACUGCGAGUGUAGAGGUGAAAUUCGUAGAUAUUCGCAAGAACACCAGUGGCGAAGGCGGCUCACUGGCCCGGUACUGACGCUGAGGUGCGAAAGCGUGGGGAGCAAACAGG
rnacentral:rRNA from 1 species